ACUGAGAGAUGGUUGCAUCAACAUGAGUUCAAUUAUAAGGACUUCAAAACCAAUAAUGUUUGUGUAAGAUUGUGUGACUGAAACUGACUAAAUGACUGAAUACAGUCUGGUAACUGAUUGACAGACUGCUCACAUGCCAACCUCUGAAAAUCUGAUUAUUAGAUUUUCUUGAAGGGACCUAUUUGUCACUGAUCAAAUGUGGGUUCCAAAGCUGAUUAAGCAUCUGCUUGGAAACUGAAUUAACCAAUCAGAUGAUAGGUACAAUGUUCAUUUAUGAUAUAAAUAUGAAUAGAAUUCUAGUUUUUAUAAUUUUCUGCUUUUUAGGAAUUAAAAACAAAUGAACUCCAUUUUAAAAGCAUUUCAGUCAUUCAGUUAUGUUGCCAAACUUAGAUUCACAGACAGGUAAAGAAGACGUUGCUAUAAAGUAUGCUCUGAAGUUCACUUCAGAUGUGUAGUGUACAAUUUUUGGGUGAACUGGAAGAUUUCACACCAUGGUCAGUGAUUCAAAAUGGUAUCCAUGAUUGAUGCGGUUGUUAAGAUGGUGGACAAAGGUGGAACUAUGUACCCUGAAUUAAGACAUCCAUAUUGUUCCCAAAUAUUCCUACGUGUGAUAGCCAGCAGCAAAAAUGUCUCUCUGCUCACUUCUCAUGAACAUGUUUCUCCUUAUUUAGGCACAAGCAUAAGCAUAAACAAGUACACAAAAAGAGAACAAUAAAAGUGAGCACGAAGAUGCUUGUUGUAUAGACGGCAGGUUUAGUGGAGAUAAAGUUGUUUUUUAAAAUGAAGUUAGUUUGGCAUGACAAGAUCAGUCAAAUGUUUUGUUUCACGCUUGUUCUUAUGCUUAUGUGCAGCUGUUUUUAAUGCAGAUGGAUCAGUUUCCAUUCACACUAGGAGAGAUUUAUUUAAAGAUAGACUUAAGCCCCUCCCCUGGCCCGUUGAAAUACUAAAUUGUGCACAGAGCAUGCAUGAUUGGUUACAUUGUAACCGAAAUCAAUUUCAGUUGGUAUCUAUUCGAAGGUGCAGAGCAUCUUUACGAAAGCGUUCAGAUCAAAUGUGUACGUAUAUGUGUUUUUAUACUGACGCAACAGCGUAAAAACUUUAUGUCAUAAAAUUCGAUGACAUUCUCUGUAGGUGUGGGUGGUUUCCUUGUUUCCUUCCCAAGCAAGGCAGAUGCUCUUCUAAUCUCGCUUGAGUUUUGGCAGUGCAGCUUAUUUUAUAAGAUGAGUAGUGAUGUAGAUAACACAGAAACAUUACAAAUGCAAGCAAGAUAAGUUUUAACUUUUGCUAAAAUGCUUCCACGAAUUUUCACUCUAUAACAACGUGUGAUGAAACUGGGCUAAGAUUAAAUAAGCGAUGUGAGGGAUAAAACAUUUUUAGAAAACUACUCCUUUUUUAAGACAUUGGAGUUUUCAUUAGUCUUGAUCUAUGAUACAAAGGGUUCGGUGUUACCCAAAACUAUCUUCCUUGGUCUUCAUCAGUGAAGCAAAGACUUGGUCCCAGAAAAAAGGGAAAAGCUGUUUCGGAAAACGGAUUGUCUACGUACGCUGAACAGAAUAACUGACUGACUUUGAACUCUGAUGCAAAGACUUGGUCCCCGAAAAAGCGGUUAAACUAUUCCGGACACCGUACACACUUGUACAAGGGAUGGGAGACUAAAUGCUUAACCUUUCAUGGGUUGUUGUCCCCCAAAAAAUCUCUUCCUUAGUCUUGAUCUGUGAUGCAAAGACUUGGUCCCCCAAAAAAAGGAAAAACUGUUUCGGACAUUGUACUGUAUUUAUACACUGAUCGGACGUCUGACUUUGUACAAGAGAUGGGAGUCUCAAAGCUGACGCUUUAAGGGCUCGGUGUCACCCAAAAAGUCUCUUCCUUAGUCUUGAUCUGUGUUGCAAUGACUUGUUCCCCAAAAAAGAGAAGAAACUGUUUCGGACAUUGGACUGUCUUUAUACGCUGAGCGGACGUCUGACUUUGUACAAGAGAUGGGAGACUAAAAGCUGGCCCUUAAAGGGGUCGGUGUCACCCAAAAAGUCUCUUCCUUGAUCUGUGAUGCAAAGACUUGUCCCCAAAAAAGAGGACAAACUGUUUCGGACACUGGAUUGUCUUUAUGCGCUGAUCAGAUUUUUGACUUUGUACAAGCAGGGGCGGAUCCACGAUUUUUUGAGGAGGGGUGCACCACUAAAGCAUGGCGUAACUGACUGGUGACCGGACGUAAACAACUUGUAAUAGCGAAUACGAAGAAGGAUUUUUCCUUUUUUUCUUUUUGCAGAAUACCAUUUAUAUUAGCAGGCCGCAGGUCAUCUCAAGGGGUGGGGGUGCGCACCCCCUGCUCCCUCCCCCUAGAUCCGCUCCUGUCAAAGCUGACCCUUAAAGGGGUCGGCGUCACCCAAGAAAUCCCUUCCCUAGUCUUGAUCUGUGAUACAAAAGGCUUUGCCCCCCAAGAAUGAGGAUAAACUGUUUCGGACAUUGGACUGUCUUUAUAUAAUGAACGGACGUUUGACUUUGCACUGACUUUGACUUUGUAAAGACUUGGUACUCAAAGAAGGGAUAAACUGUUUCGAACACUGGACUGUCUUUGUGGAGGUGGGAGACUAAAAGCUAACGUAUGAGUGGGCCGGUUUUAUCCAAACCAUUUUCUCUUAAGUUUUGAUCUAUGCACUGAAGACUUUCUCCCAGAAAAGAAGAAAUGUUUCGAACACUGGAUUGUCUUCAUCUGCCGAGCUUAUGUUUUCUUUAGCACAAGAGAUGGAAGACUAAAAGCUCAGUGAUCAGGGAAUCAGUUUCAUCCAAAAAUCUCAAAAAAGAUAUGAAGAUUACUCAUUUUUAACAUCGCUACCUACGUUGAGAUUUAAAAACUCGGUUAGGAUUUUCAUGAAAAGAAAAAGAUGUUAAUCAAAUUUUGUUUGUUUCAAUCAUUAUACAGGACAUAAGCAAACGUGGAAUAUCGUUUGUGUUCAAACGGCUUGGAUCUCAGUGGACCCUGAUCGACUCCUUUGGUGCCAGUGGUAAACCUAUUGCUUAGUCGAAAGUGGGACAGAAGAAGUACCGUAAAGCCCACGUGGAAGUUAGUAUGAUGUUUUCUUUUAACAUCCGAAACAAAUUCGGUAACAUGAAGAUUACACGUUUACAAAGAAUUUCAAGUGAGACGAGUGGCAAGUGUAAUCACAGUUGCACUUAUACUUGUGUGAUUCUGUUUUAAGGGGUUCAUUCAUUUGCGCAAGAGUGUAGAUUCGUGAAAGAGACGACUAAACAGAUUUUCUUUAAAUUUACGUUGAAUGCUAUGUUUAGGAAUUCUCGUCCUUAUGGGUUUCAGUGUAAAACGCAUGCGUAUUGAUGUUAUACUUUGUUUCAUGAUGUUUCUAUACUUCUUAUUCGCGGUUUUGUCGUCAUUUUAUCAGGUUUAAAUGAAGGAUGACCACCUCAAGAAACCAAGGAUAAAUGUUAACUUUAGGGAUUGAUCCGCCACCCUCUCCCGUCAUACACAACCUGUUUAAACAAUUACUAAGUAUUUGUAAAAUCUCUCUACCUUGUGGUAACAACAUUUUGCAAUACGCAUGGUUUGAAGACAGAACCUUGAAAUAAACGUUUGUACCGUAAGGUGGACAAUGCUUGAGAAGACUUAAUAAAUCUAUAGGCUAGUGGUGGGUGCGGUGGGGGAGGAUGGAUAGUGGAAAACUGUCAAAAUCUUUGUUAUAUUAUUGUAUUAUAACAUUGUAAGAAGAAGAUUGUAAUACUACUACUGUAUUAUAUUUUAUAAUAUCUAUAUAUUACAAGAUUGUAUCGUAGUACUACUGGAUAAUGGCAUUAAAAGAUGUUUAGGAAUUC